GGGAGUGUUCCCGAGCGGCCAAAGGGGGCAGACUGUAAAUCUGUUGUCUUCGACUACGGUGGUUCGAAUCCACCCGCUCCCACCA
rnacentral:tRNA from 1 species